UUUGACACUGUCUCCCACAGUAUUCUCCUACAGAAGCUGGCAGUCCGUGGCUUGGAAAGAUACACUCUUGGCUGGGAUCUCUGUAUGGAGACUGCACAAGACAGCAUCUAUGAAUACAGACUAAUGUAUGCAGAUGAAUAGAAGAAAGACACGUGGAGCAUAUCUGAGAAGAAAAUUUUUCUUUAAUUCUUCCCAAAACAUCAGGGAAAGGUGAGAGAGAGAGGAAAAGCCUUGCAUACUGAUGAUGAGAAGUGAUCGGACAUAUUGGAACAUCAUUCCAUAAAUUCUCAAGCUUUUCUAUCCUCUUGAAAGUAUAGAAUCAUAAGAAAUGAGAACAAAUAUGUCACCAUCAUAGAAAAAUAUUUUGAUUGUCCAGUCAUCUCCUGUCAACUGCCUAUUCACCUCAUUAUAGUCAACACUGCUAGAAGUAUCCAUAGAGAUCUUGUGUGGCACUAGUGAGAGUCAGCUAUGAUAGCUACGGUUCAGAAAUGUCAUCAGAUGCCAAAAUACACACCAUAUCUUCUAGAAAAAGAACCUUCCACUUCUUAACUGCAAGCUGUUUUAGACAAAAUUGAUAUUCACGGGGUGAAGGAGAAGAGUUUCUGUGUUGUGAAGAAAUAAGCCACAAGUCUGGAUGUUCAAUAUGAAGGCAAGCUUGUCAGGUGGUCAUAGAAGAAGCACCAGACCAUACAUACAGUCAGAGCACUCCUGUCAGCAGCAGGACUGCAUUCCAGACCCUGGUACAGCAAUGAUUUGGGCUUCUGAAACCAAAGGAUGUUUCAUGGAAGGAGGACUUGCCUCUCAGUUUGCCCCCUAGCAACCACGUUUUUUCAUGGGAGCCAGAUCCCUAAUCAUUAAGUCAGUCAGUCUUCUGAUGCUCAUUCACACUAAGUGAUAUCAAAAGCUCUUUAAAAGGACAUCUUUAUUCUGUCUUUUAGCUCUUCACUUUGACUGAAUGACUUAUGUUUCUUCUAGAACCUGCAAAGGCAGUGGAGAUGGAGAGAUUUUCAGCUUUGCAUUUCUUGGUAAUGUCUGCAUUUUUUUACUUUCAGUGCUACUACAAACAUGACAGUAAUUUCUAAUCUAACACCUGAAAAAAUGCAGUUUAGUGCAAAAAGAACUAUGCAUUUGGGGAAAGCAAAGUCUCUAAAACAUGCAUGAGAUUGUAUUCAGAAAACAAUAAAAGCUCAUUU
ensembl:lncRNA